rnacentral:rRNA from 1 species
AUUGAACGCUGGCGGUAUGCCUAACACAUGCAAGUCGAACGGCAGCACGGUAGCUUGUUGCUCUUGGGGAGGGGCGGAGGGGGGAGGAAGACAUCUGAAUAGGACUCUUAGUUGUGGAGGGCGCGGCGGUAGCGGGAUUAAUACUGAAAACGAAUUCCGGCUGCGAGUGGGGGCACGUCAGCUUUGGACCUUUCGGGAUUGAAUGUGGCGAUGUAGGAUUUGUUAGUUGGAGGGGUAAAGGCCUACCAAGGCGACGAUCCGUAGCUGGUCUGAGAGGAUGACCAGCCACACUGGAACUGAGACACGGCCCAGACUCCUACGGGAGGCAGCAGUGGGGAAUUUUGGACAAUGGGCGCAAGCCUGAUCCAGCCAUGCCGCGUGUGUGAAGAAGGCCUUCGGGUUGUAAAGCCCUUUUGUCCGGAAAGAAAACCAUCGCCCUAAUACGGUCGGGGGAUGACGGUACCGAAAGAAUAAGCACCGGCUAACUACGUG